UGGUUUUCAAUCUGUUUAAUUUUUAAUUCUCUUGAAAUCCCUUAAUUAGUUAAUAAGAAUUGAAAGAGCUGUAUACGCAAUGUAAAAUAUCCCAUGUUGACAAAUGUAAAAAAUAUGUCAUGUAUAUAAUAGUUAUAUGUUCUCUUAAAAGGGCAUUUUUAUCAUACAAGCAAGUAAAUCCAAACAGGGACAUUUCAUAGUUUCAUAUUACAAAUACAUACAUUCUGUUGUAAAUAUUAUUAUUAUAAAAACUGUUAAAAAAGGUCAAACACAGGAAUGUUAGUUGAUAAUAAACAGAGCUCUUUUUACAAAAAAAUUACCCUAACCCGAUGAGAUAACAUUCUAGCAGAAGAUAUAAUGAAAACUAGGACAUUCUGUGCAUCAAGCAACCCAGACAGUAGAUGUAAAUAAACCAAAAGUAAAUUAUCACACUCAAAAAUGUAAAUACAAUUUAUAUGUACAAACCUAUACUUCCCACAUUAAACCAUAAGUAAAUUUUCUAAUAUAACUAAAAUACAACAAAUCUAAUACCACACAAUAUUGAAGAGUUUAUAUGUAGUGAUGGGAACUAAACUAACUUUUAAAAGUUAAACUAAAACUAGUUUUCAACUAAAAUAAAGUAGUUAAACUAAAAGUUUAUCAUGAAUUUCAAAAUCUAGUUAAACUAAACUAAAGGAAAUUAAUAAAACUAUAACAAACUUUUCAUAACUUUUUUUUUUUGGGGGGGGGGGG